CAGUCGCCGCGGUAAUACGUAGGUGGCAAGCGUUGCCCGGAAUUAUUGGGCGUAAAGGGCUCGCAGGCGGUUUCUUAAGUCUGAUGUGAAAGCCCCCGGCUCAACCGGGGAGGGUCAUUGGAAACUGGGAAACUUGGGUGCAGAAGAGGAGAGUGGAAUUCCACGUGUAGCGGUGAAAUGCGUAGAGAUGUGGAGGAACACCAGUGGCGAAGGCGACUCUCUGGUCUAUAACUGACGCUGAGGAGCGAAAGCGUGGGGAGCGAACAGGAUUAGAUACCCCUGUAGUCCCUGUCUCUUAUAA
rnacentral:rRNA from 1 species